GGGGCCGUUCUUGGAUUUGACAGGGUGGCGAAGGUUAUGUUAGCAUGCAGUGCGUUGUUCGGAGAGCACUUAAAGUGAACGAUCACAUUUUAAUUGGCGAAAAUACUUACGCCUUAGCUGCCUAGUUUAGAACUACGCUUAGCUUUUGUCCCUCUAACUGCUGCAUUGUUGGGUUAGAACCUGGGGCAUCGAAACAACAAAGCUGGCUUUAAGGAGAUACGACUUAAAGUGAGAUCAAGUAUCUAAGGAUCUAAAUAAGGUCGGUUUUCAGCCCGUUUAUUUCCCGAAAAUCAAUUGAAAAAUAAGCAUGUAGAAGGUAUAAUUUAUCUCACAACUGGACAAGGGUUCGACUCCCUUCGGCUCCACAA
rfam:Pedobacter kyungheensis strain KACC 16221 contig020, whole genome shotgun sequence.